rnacentral:lncRNA from 12 species
CUGUGGGUCACAGGUGACCUUGACCUUCGCCCAGGUGUCCGAGGCCCAGCACAGGGCAGAGGCUGUGGUCAGGGGGCCUCAGGCCACAGGUCGUGGGGGCUUUGGGCUCACUAUACCCUGGAACCCCUGUGACGUGGACCUGCUGCUCUGCUGCUGGGCCUCUGCUCCUGGGGAUGUGAGAUGGGGCGGGGGAGCCCAGGCGGAGGGGUCAAGCCCUCAGGGACCGAGUGAGCACAGCCAAUGCCACCCUGACCCCGUCCUCAUUGGCCACUGGUUUGCCCUGGGACCUUGGGAACUUUUUCUGUGCUUCGACCCUAAAAGUGGCUAGAGACCAUGUGGGGCCCUGAGCCGCAGGAUGGCCCACUGAAGCCUCUGCCUUUCUUUCUCACCCCAGGUCUGGGACCGUGAGGUACUGACCUCCUGCCACGGCUGCGGGGCCCUCAGUGGUGGUCACUCUGGAGCAAAAAAAAGCCGAUGGAUCAGGCUCUGGCCAUCUCUCCUAGAGCUCACCUCUGAGUUCAAAUGGCCUGAGGAUGAGAUUCAGAAGACAGGAGGGGUGAUCAUUCAGGCUGCCCUCGAGGCAGAGAGGAGGACUAGCCAGCAGAGGCUUCCUGGAAGUUCAGAGCCCAGACCGGGAAACAGAGGCCACUCCCCACAUCCUCCGAGGAGAGUCCCCCCACUCCCCCGCCCAAGGGUGAGGCCGAGCCACUGGCUAGUACGUGCCCAUCUCCAGGCCGUGGGGGGCCCUCCAGCCAGCCGACGCCACACAGACAGCGGUCAGCAAGCUCUCUAUUUUGGAGGAGUUUACUUUAAAAAACUGCAGUGAGCACUGUCCGAGUGUGGAGGUUUGGGAUUCCCCGAGUCACUAGGUCUCUGGUCUUGGGGUUGUCCCUGCAGAAGGCACAACAGGUAGACGGCGAGGACCGAGUAACCACUUGGGCCCGCCUUGCCUGGGGCGAUGGGGAGCCACGGAAGGGUGAAGGUCAGGGGGCAACAUCAGGGCAUUUGUCAGGAGCCCCAUUUGCUCCUGCCCUUCCUUGGAUGAGGCUGGGUGGGCUCCUCCAACCCCCAAGGAAGUAAAAGGCCAAGUUCAGGGAGACCCCAGCGCUGAGUCCCUCCCAGCCUGGAAGAGUGGAGUGCGGGCUGCUGCGCGAACCCCCUGAGGAAAGAGCCUGCUCUGGACCCUUGUCUCUGCCCCGUGGCUUUGGGCCAGUCCACCUCGCCCCCUGCCCCUGCCCUGCCCCAGGCUG